rnacentral:ncRNA from 2 species
UUUCAGAUCACAGCGCCAGAGGUUGUGUAUUAAACAGUGAUGUAUGCAACCUGACGAGGAUGGAGAAAUUCGAAAUUUCGGCGGGUACUCCACGGUAAUGAUACUACCGUUAACAACUGGCAAAACCGGAGAGUGAUUUUCGGCACAAUAUCAGUUAGGUAUUGCAC